rnacentral:tRNA from 3 species
GGGUCUGUAGCUCAGCUGGUUAGAGCACCGUCUUGAUAAGGCGGGGGUCGCUGGUUCGAACCCAGCCAGACCCACCA